rnacentral:rRNA from 1 species
GAUGAACGCUGGCGGCGUGCUUAACACAUGCAAGUCGAGCGAGAAGUUUUGAAAAGAUUCUUCGGAUGAAAUUUAAAAUGGAAAGCGGCGGACGGGUGAGUAACGCGUAGGCAACCUGCCCCAUACAAAGGGAUAGCAUUUGGAAACGAAUAUUAAUACCUUAUGAAACUUAACUAGUGCAUGCUAGGUAGGUCAAAGAUUUAUCGGUAUGGGAUGGGCCUGCGUCUGAUUAGCUAGUUGGUGAGGUAACGGCUCACCAAGGCGACGAUCAGUAGCCGACCUGAGAGGGUGAACGGCCACAUUGGAACUGAGACACGGUCUAAACUCCUACGGGAGGCAGCAGUGGGGAAUAUUGCACAAUGGGGGAAACCCUGAUGCAGCAACGCCGCGUGAACGAUGAAGGCCUUUGGGUCGUAAAGUUCUGUUCUAGGUGAUGAAAACUGACAG